CAGAAACACCUAAUAAGAGUAAAGGCAAAGAGUUCCUGAAUAUAUCACAUGUGAUAAACAUGAAGAUGUAUGAAAAAUUGUGUUCGUUGAGAGAAAAUGGAAGGCUUUUCAUUCUACUUCCACAUUUUCAUUCCAGCAGCUUUUCUGUUUUGGAAGACAAGGAAAAUGAAGCGCAGAGACGUUAAAUAACUCUCUCAAGGUCAUGCAGCUGAGAAGAGAUGAGACUUGAACUCCAGUGCCAGCCCUGUUAAUCACUAUUCUGUACUGUCUUUCAGGUUCUUAUGCCUUUGUUUGAAAAACAUGGUUCCCUGUGAAAUUUUACAUGUAGAAGACAGCUUCACACUACGAGAGCUCUCAGGAUAUAAUUAUUUCAGACAGAUGCUGGGAACAUAAGAUGGCUUAUCAAUCUAAGAUGGCCUUCCUGUCCUUCGGAUUGAACUGAAACCAUCCCUGAUUCCAGGGAUAGGUAGAUGAUCCAGGUUUGGACAAUCGAAAUAUUGAACCACCCUGGACCUACAAGUGUUUCUGGGAUGGGAACGUGCAAACGUUGGUCCAAAUUGUUGUUCUAGGCAGCCCAGUACAUUUCUCCAAUGCCUGAUGGAAUGAUAGGGUACGCAUAAAUGUUCAUGUGGGCUCUGGAGUAUACCAGGAACUGAAGUAAGGUACAUGGACGUCUUGAAUAUUGUAACUGAGAUGGGCAAGCCUACACCUUUGCAAAUAAAGGAGGAUUGGGAAAGAUUAAGAAUGAUUGAGUCUCAGAAUUGUUCUUUAAUCCUCAGUAUUUCCUUUAAGAAGAGCUUCUAUCAAGUGCUUCAAAAGUACCCAAUGUGAAGGAGUAAUAACGACUCCCCUGCUGCCUCUCAAGCACUGUGAAAAAUCACUUUCUCUUGUUAUAUUCUUGGAGCCCCUGCUAAUUCAUUAUUGAAAAAUACCUGCUGCCUGCAUUUGGCCUUAUGUUGUCAUUUACUUGGGUCUGUGCAUGGCGUUUAGAAGGCUACACCUUAGGCCGGGGGUCAAGAAUGUCUUCCCUGAUGUGAGGUUUACACAGAGAUCUGAAGAAUGAAAAGUCCAGCUAAGUUAAGUGGGAGCGGAUUAAGGGAAUGCAAGGACAUGAAAGAGUGUCCUAGGCAGAGGGAACAACAUAUACAAAGGCCCUGAGGUGGGAGUGAACAAGGAACUGAGAGAAGAACUGAGAGAAGGCCACUGUGGAAAGCCAGAUGCUGUGUGACAUGAAUAAUGGGACACAGGAAAUUGAGAUAUUAGCAAAAGAGAGAUUGAUGACCCAUAGGCUUGAAGAUGUACUGGAACUAAAGUAAGGGGCGAGGAUAAAUAAAAAGAGGGAGAAAUUGGAGAAACAGAGUGCUUGGAAGCCCUGAUGAAUUUGAGGAAAAGGAUGGUGAUAGAGUUGACCUAGCCAGCUAGAAGAGUAGUACUUUUUAGUCAGUGAGCCCUCCAUCCCAUUUCUCAUUAAUUCUUGUAACACUUUCUCACUUCCUAUAUUCUGUCAUAUUUUAUAGUUGUUUAUAUAAUUAUCUUAUUCUUUAUACCAAUUGUAGUUUCCCUGGGUGCUUAUUAUGGGUUAACAAUUAUAUUAUUAUUAAUAAUAUGGGUGAAUGUUUACAAAGAAAGAAGUCUUUUUUGCUAUUCUUAUUUUAUUUCUUUAAUCUUUGAUCAGGGGUUUUUAUUUAUGAAUUCAUCUUAUAUGUCACUUGACAAACACUGAAUGCUGAAUGCCACAGAGUACAUGACACUUUAGCAGCAUAAAGAAAGGCACCAAAACCAAGCAGCAAACUACAUGCUACAAAACAAC
rnacentral:lncRNA from 1 species